rnacentral:rRNA from 1 species
UGGGGAAUUUUGGACAAUGGGCGAAAGCCUGAUCCAGCAAUGCCGCGUGUGUGAAGAAGGCCUUCGGGUUGUAAAGCACUUUUGUCCGGAAAGAAAUCCUUGGCUCUAAUACAGUCGGGGGAUGACGGUACCGGAAGAAUAAGCACCGGCUAACUACGUGCCAGCAGCCGCGGUAAUACGUAGGGUGCAAGCGUUAAUCGGAAUUACUGGGCGUAAAGCGUGCGCAGGCGGUUUGCUAAGACCGAUGUGAAAUCCCCGGGCUCAACCUGGGAACUGCAUUGGUGACUGGCAGGCUAGAGUAUGGCAGAGGGGGGUAGAAUUCCACGUGUAGCAGUGAAAUGCGUAGAGAUGUGGAGGAAUACCGAUGGCGAAGGCAGCCCCCUGGGCCAAUACUGACGCUCAUGCACGAAAAGCGUGGGGGAGCAAAACAGGAUUAGAUACCCUGGUAGUCCACGCCCUAAAACGAUGUCAACUAGUUGUUGGGGACUUCAUUUCCUUAGUAACGUAGCUAACGCGUGAAGUUGACCGCCUGGGGAGUACGGUCGCAAGAUUAAAACUCAAAUGAAUUGACGGGGUCAUAGCUGUUUCCU